GUCCUCGUGGCGCAAUGGACUAGCGCACCGGACUUCUAAUUCGGAGGUUGUGGGUUCGAGUCCCACCGAGGACG
rnacentral:tRNA from 1 species